GCUCUGAGGAGACAAUCUCUGAUGGAUUGUGAAGCUGAAUGGAACCGCAAAUCAGCUGAAAAAGAGGAAACAAUCAUUAAUUUGGAAAUGAAAUUGUCCGAAGCUCCUGAUGUUCAAGGUUUAAAGGAAAUGGAUUCUGAAAAAGAAGGUAAUUCUAAUCUAAUCAAAGAAAUUGAAGAUCUAAAACUGAAGGUGCAGGAACUCGAGAGAGAUUGCAACGAGCUUACUGAUGAAAAUCUGGAACUUCAUUUUAAGCUCAAAGAAUCAAGCAGAGAUCAUAGCACCACCUCUAAUUCUCUUUUACCUGAUCAUCCAGGAAAGAACUCUUUUUCUAGGCAUGAACCAGAAGUACCUUCUGCUGAUCAUUUACAGAGUCAAUCUGUAGUUCUUGGAAAUCGAUGUGCUGACCUAGAGCUCCAGCUGGAAGCUUUCAAGGAGAAAACUUCUUAUCUUGAUGAUGAACUCUCCAAGUAUCGUGCCAGAGCAGAUGAACAGGAGACUGAACUUGUCACACUGCAACAACAAUUACAGCAUUACCAGCAGACAGAAAUUCAGAGUAAAGAAUCCAGUAUUUCUGAAUCACCUGAUGCCUUUGAAUUCACUACAUUGCUUGCUGAGUUAGAUGAACAGAUUCAACUUUCUUUAGCUGACUUAAAGCGUCCUGAGGGAACUGAUUUUGAUGACUCAGAGGUUUUGAAAAGUAAAGAUUCGAC
rnacentral:lncRNA from 1 species